rnacentral:rRNA from 1 species
CCUACGGGAGGCAGCAGUGAGGAAUAUUGGUCAAUGGACGCAAGUCUGAACCAGCCAAGUAGCGUGCAGGAUGACGGCCCUCCGGGUUGUAAACUGCUUUUAGUUGGGAAUAAAAGGGGGCUCGUGAGCCCCGUAUUGUAUGUACCAUCAGAAAAAGGACCGGCUAAUUCCGUGCCAGCCGCCGCGGUAAUACGGAAGGUCCGGGCGUUAUCCGGUUUUAUUGGGUUUAAAGGGAGCGUAGGCCGGAUUUUAAGUCAGCUGUGAAAGUCCCCGGCUAAACCGUGGAAUUGCAGUUGAUACUGGAGGCCUUGAGGGCAGACAGGGAAGGCGGAAUGCAUGGUGUAGCGGUGAAAUGCUUAGAUAUCAUGAAGAACUCCGAUCGCGAAGGCAAGUGUCCGGGGUGCAACUGACGCUGAGGCUCGAAAGUGCGGGUAUCAAACAGGAUUAGAUACCCGGGUAGUC